rnacentral:lncRNA from 1 species
UAACAUUGAGCUAACUGAACCAACCCUUUGGGAUUGGUUAGAGAUGACUUCAUAAUGGAGGUUUCAAGUUCGAAAUCCCUGCCUAUGACAGCAGGGGGUUGGCCUUUUGGAUCGAGCUCGUUAUGAGCUAACUGAACCAACCCUUUGGGAUUGGUUAGAGAUGACUUCAUAAUGGAGGUUUCAAGUUCGAAAUCCCUGCCUAUGACAGCAGGGGGUUGGCCUUUUGGAUCGAGCUCGUUACACUGGGCUCGCCUAGUGCGGGUUUAUCUCUCCUGUGUGGUUUACAAGCUACUUCACAGGAGCAGGGUAGCGGCUACCGAUUCCCUCACAAAAAAAAAAA